AGGUUCCUGGCUGCCAGAGAUGAAGCUGAAUCCUACUUCCUUGCUGAUGCCUACUGCUUCCUGCUAGUUGCUAUUAGAAGAUGUUCUGGAGCUGUCAGAAUGAAACCACUAAUGGAAGUGGGUGUUGGACUAAAAUAAACAGCCGUAUUUUGUAAUAUA